UCGGGAAUUUUGGGCAAUGGGCGAAAGCCUGACCCAGCAACGCCGCGUGUGUGAAGAAGGUCUUCGGAUUGUAAAGCACUUUAAGUUGGGAGGAAGGGCAGUUACCUAAUACGUAUCUGUUUUGACGUUACCGACAGAAUAAGCACCGGCUAACUCUGUGCCAGCAGCCGCGGUAAUACAGAGGGUGCAAGCGUUAAUCGGAAUUACUGGGCGUAAAGCGCGCGUAGGUGGUUUGUUAAGUUGGAUGUGAAAUCCCCGGGCUCAACCUGGGAACUGCAUUCAAAACUGACAAGCUAGAGUAUGGUAGAGGGUGGUGGAAUUUCCUGUGUAGCGGUGAAAUGCGUAGAUAUAGGAAGGAACACCAGUGGCGAAGGCGACCACCUGGACUGAUACUGACACUGAGGUGCGAAAGCGUGGGGAGCAAACAGGAUUAGAUACCCACGUAGUCCCUGAGCGGGCUGGCAAGGCGCAU
rnacentral:rRNA from 1 species